rnacentral:rRNA from 1 species
UACGUAGGGCGCAAGCGUUGUCCGGAAUUAUUGGGCGUAAAGAGCUCGUAGGCGGUCUGUCGCGUCUGCUGUGAAAACCCGAGGCUCAACCUCGGGCCUGCAGUGGGUACGGGCAGACUAGAGUGCGGUAGGGGAGACUGGAAUUCCUGGUGUAGCGGUGGAAUGCGCAGAUAUCAGGAAGAACACCCGUGGCGAAAGCGGCUCUCUGGAACGGUACUGACGCUGAGACGCGAAAGCGUGGGGAGCGAACAGG